AGCUCCAAUAGCGUAUACUAAUGUUGUUGCAGUUAAAAAGCUCGUAGUCGGAUUUCAGAUUAAUUCGCUGAACCAUCCAAGGUGCAUGUGAGUUUAUCUUCUUUGGUACGAUCCCGCAUGUGAUUAAUUUUACGUGUGUGGCAAGUGCCUCUUUUACUUUGAGAAAAUUAGAGUGUUCAAAGCAGUUGUGACUGAAUAUUACUCUUGGAAUAAUACUAUAGGACUCUGGUUCUAAUUUGUUGGUGACUUGGGACCGGAGUAAUGAUUGAUAGGGACGGUUGGGGUGAUUCAUACUGCAAAGCGAGAGGUGAAAUUCUUAGACCUUUGUAUGAUGAACAACUGCGAAAGCAUUUCACUAGGACGUUCCCGUUGAUCAAGAACGAAGUUAGCACG
rnacentral:rRNA from 1 species